rnacentral:rRNA from 1 species
GACGAACGCUGGCGGCGUGCUUAACACAUGCAAGUCGAACGGAAAGGCCCUGCUUUUGUGGGGUUCUCGAGUGGCGAACGGGUGAGUAACACGUGAGUAACCUGCCCUUGACUUUGGGAUAACUUCAGGAAACUGGGGCUAAUACCGGAUAGCAGCCCCUGCUGCAUGGUGGGGGUUGGAAAGUUUCGGCGGUUGGGGAUGGACUCGCGGCUUAUCAGCUUGUUGGUGGGGUAGUGGCUUACCAAGGCUUUGACGGGUAGCCGGCCUGAGAGGGUGACCGGCCACAUUGGGACUGAGAUACGGCCCAGACUCCUACGGGAGGCAGCAGUGGGGAAUAUUGCACAAUGGGCGGAAGCCUGAUGCAGAAACGCCGCGUGCGGGAUGACGGCCUUCGGGUUGUAAACCGCUUUCGCCUGUGACGAAGCGUGAGUGACGGUAAUGGGUAAAGAAGCACCGGCUAACUACGUG